rnacentral:rRNA from 1 species
CAUGCAAGUCGAACGAUGAAGCCCAGCUUGCUGGGUGGAUUAGUGGCGAACGGGUGAGUAACACGUGAGCAACGUGCCCAUAACUCUGGGAUAACCUCCGGAAACGGUGGCUAAUACUGGAUAUCUAACAUGAUCGCAUGGUCUGUGUUUGGAAAGAUUUUUUGGUUAUGGAUCGGCUCACGGCCUAUCAGCUUGUUGGUGAGGUAAUGGCUCACCAAGGCGACGACGGGUAGCCGGCCUGAGAGGGUGACCGGCCACACUGGGACUGAGACACGGCCCAGACUCCUACGGGAGGCAGCAGUGGGGAAUAUUGCACAAUGGGCGAAAGCCUGAUGCAGCAACGCCGCGUGAGGGAUGACGGCCUUCGGGUUGUAAACCUCUUUUAGUAGGGAAGAAGCGAGAGUGACGGUACCUGCAGAAAAAGCACCGGCUAACUACGUGCCAGCAGCCGCGGUAAUACGUAGGGUGCAAGCGUUGUCCGGAAUUAUUGGGCGUAAAGAGCUCGUAGGCGGUUUGUCGCGUCUGCUGUGAAAUCCCGAGGCUCAACCUCGGGUCUGCAGUGGGUACGGGCAGACUAGAGUGUGGUAGGGGAGAUUGGAAUUCCUGGUGUAGCGGUGGAAUGCGCAGAUAUCAGGAGGAACACCGAUGGCGAAGGCAGAUCUCUGGGCCAUUACUGACGCUGAGGAGCGAAAGCAUGGGGAGCGAACAGGAUUAGAUACCCUGGUAGUCCAUGCCGUAAACGUUGGG